UAAGAAAGUAAGAAGUCAAUGAAUGUGCUAUUCUUUAUUUAAUGUAAAUGCUGAAGUGUGGAUGGAACUCUGUUUGAAGGUCUUCUUAGGUCUAACUUUGUUUAGCUAUUGUUUUUUGCAGCAUUGCCACUGCAGUUGUACUUGGAGUUAUUUAUAGUAUCAGAAACACCUUUCAACCGUUUCCUAAAGAUAUGUUUCGCUAUGGUACCAGAUUUGAGGGAACCUUUCAAUCUACAGAAGGGGUGGCUUUUAUGGGCAGUGAUUGGUCUUUUGGGUGCUCUAUAAGCUAUCGCAUUGACAGGAGUUGCCAUGUUGACAAUUAGUAGUGAGACUCCACAAAGGGAGGCUGAUGCUCUUGUUCGGCUUCUUCCAUUAAUUGGAUCUUCAAGUGUCAGGCAUUCAAAGAAGGGGUUUUCUACUUUUGUCCAUAUUAACAUGCUGAAGUAGCUAUGCUUUCCAAUGGGGAAUACUUUGUCAAUUAGAGAUUGAACAAAUGAACCAAUGAUACGGAGUUGUAUCGUGGCACUGCUUGCUUGGUGGGCAUCACUGUUGUCCUUGAUCCAAUUCUGGAGGAGACAGUUUUUCGAGGGUGCCUACACCCAUUUCUGUCCUAAUUAGUGCCGCUGUAUUUGCAAUAGGACAUCUAAUUCCUGGGGAGUUUCCCCAGCUGUUUGUGUUAGGUAACAUGCUUACACAGUGACUAUAUUUUCUAUUUAUUCUUACAUUAAAAAAUAUCUGUCCAUUAUAUAAGUUUCCUUGAUAACAUUUUAAGCUAUAUAUCGAAUGGUAUAGGGCUUUCCUAUAUAUAGAUUCCUAACUUGUCCUUUUUUGGAGAAAUGAAAAGAAAUUUUUGUGCCUGUCCACGGAUUAUUCUGGGAUUUUCAUAUGCUCAAACUUGCAACCUUCUAACCUCGAUUACAAUUCAUGCUUUCUGGAACUCUGAAGUGAUCCUAAUUCUCACCUUGCUUCAGCUCCAAGGAUACGAUAUUAAGGAAUUACUGCAGGCAACGCAGUGACCGUGUUCCUUUGCCCAUCAAUAGGGGAACCUUGUACAAUCAGUGCUUAUUUUUGGCAGGUCAAUAUACUUUUCUCCAUUACCUUGUGCAAGUGGUUUGGAAAAAGAGAAAAUAGGUGCAGGAGGAUAAAUGUGUAAAGUAGAAAUUUUUGGCAGGAUUUUUGUUACUUCAACUUUUGUGCCACGAAAAUGCUUUGUUCUGUUUGGAUAAUUUUUAUGUUUUGUCCAAUCUGAGUUCUUCUCUACAUGUCAAAAAAGUGACAGUCCAUAUAUA